GGCUGGUCUUUGCUGAGGAAAUGUAGGCUAGCUAACAGCUGUUUGUGCUGAAACCAGCUAGCCAGUUUGACUGUAGACAGCCGGGUUUAACCCUGUUCAGAAAAAAUUGAUUGCUCCUACAGACAGCGAGUCACGUGGCCUUGGCUUGAAAUAUAAAGCAGGCUGACCGGCAUUGAGGCAUUCAGUUACAGUUCAAUUGAACAUUAGAAUAAGCAAAACAAGUGACCUUUGAGCGUGGUAUGAUCGUCGGUGCAAAGUUCGCCGGAUCCAGUAUCUCAGAAAUGGCUGCCCUCCUGGGCUUUUCACACACGACAGUGUCUAGGGUUUACCGAGAAUGGUGUUACAAUCAAAAACAUCCAGUCAGCAGCAGUCCUGUGGGCGAAAACAGCUCGUUAGUGAAAGAGGUCGAUGGAGAAUGGCAAGAAUCAUGCAAGCUAACAGGCUGGCCACAAACAGACAAAUAACAGCACAGUACAACAGUGGUGUGCAAAACGACAUCACGGAACUCACAAGUUGUCAAUCCUUGUCAUGGAUGGGCUAUUGCAGCAGAUGACAACACUGGCAUGCAAUCACCAUCACUGGAUAAUUGAGGGACUCCAAGAUUCAACGUUGUCUACGCAAAACAAUCACGGCCAGUAUCAGCCCACCACUCAAAGAUUCAGCAAUGACCUGAUGGAGUCCGUCCUGGAGAGACGCAAGGACAAAUACUGGGAGCUCAAAUCCUGUGGAAGAGGCCGUUGUCUGGCUUCCAACAUUGCCCCAUCCCAAAACCCAGUGAGGAGGUCAUUAUUGGUUUAUUCACAUCUCCAUUUGCUUUUGUAGAAGCAGCAGCUAUUCUUCCUGGGAUCCACAAAAAAACACGACAAGUAACAAAACACUGAUACACAUAGAUCAUUGCAGCACACUAUUCUAACACCCCCAACUCCCACCGUAUCCACGGACAUGGUUUGCCUUGCACUAUUACCUAAUAUAAACACACUCUAAUGUAACAUAAAUUGUUAGCCUCUGGUCAUUAUCACUCUGCGUCUAUGGAUUAACAAAAAAAAAUGUUUUACUAUAGGCUACUACUGUACAUAACAGCACCGCCAUGACUACGUUAUACUGUCUAUUUUAUUGUAGAUUUGAACCUUUUAUUUAUGUGAAGUGUCUGAAUGCCUUCUCUAUACUGUGUAUUGUACAUUAUGUGCAGUGAUCUGUAUUGUGUUGAAAAAAAUAAAUAUGUCUUUGCCAG
rnacentral:lncRNA from 1 species